rnacentral:rRNA from 1 species
AAUAGACUACCCCGGUAGUCCACGCCGUAAACGAUGGAUGCUAGCUAUUGGGGGGAAUCGACCCCCUCCGAAGCGAAGCUAACGCAUUAAGCAUCCCGCCUGAGUAGUACGAGCGCAAGCUUAAAACUCAAAGGAAUUGACGGGGACCCGCACAAGCGGUGGAGCGUGUGGUUUAAUUCGAUGGUAAACGAAGAACCUUACCAAGGUUUGACAUCCCGGUAGCCGUUCUCCGAAAGGAGAAUUUCAUUUAGUUGGACCGGUGACAGGUGAUGCAUGGCCGUCGUCAGCUCGUGUCGUGAGAUGUUGGGUUAAGUCCCGCAACGAGCGCAACCCUUAUGAUUUAGUUGGAUUUUUCUAAACAGACUGCCCUGGUAACAGGGAGGAAGGAGGGGAUGAUGUCAGGUCAGUAUUUCCCUUACACCUUGGGCGACACACGCGCUACAAUGGCCGGUACAAUGGGCAGCUAAGCCGCGAGGUGGAGCAAAUCCCAUCAAAGCCGGUCCCAGUUCGGAUUGCAGGCUGAAACCCGCCUGCAUGAAGCCGGAAUCGCUAGUAA